UGGACUCCUGUCGGGCCCUUUAUCACUUGAUUGACUCUAGUUAGAAAAAGAAGAAACAAAAGCUCUCUAUGGUCCUUCUAGAUCUAUGAAGAAUACACCCAAAACACCAAAACCCCAAAUCCAACUGUGUGGCGAAUCUGGAACUCAUGAACACUCGCACUCCAACUCAACCCCAAAAGUCAACAACCCCAGGUUCUCCAUCUCUCCUGUCGUCAUUGCUACCCAUCUCUGCUUUCUCGCUCGCUCCCACUCACUCAAUUAGUUGGGUCUUCUUUAUCGCUCGCACUAGCUCGCAAGGUUGAAUUGUUCUGGUGAUGCCGAUUGAAAUUACUCAUGAAUGUGUAUUCGAGCGUAUACCACGUGCGUUUGGGAAGAACUUCAAUGGUUGUGUACCAGGAAUGUGUGGCCUUAGAGGCCCUUGUGGAAACCUGUGGGCUGUGAAUUUAAAAGAGAUCGAGGGUUGCGUGGUUUUCCAUAAUGAUUAGCAGAGUUUUGCAAAGCUUCAUUUUCUGGAAGUUGGGGAUUUCUUGACUUUAACUAAAGAUGGUGGAUCAAUUUUUGAUGUCAAAAUUUAUGGUAAAAGCUACUGCAAGAAGAAUGCUGAAGCACCAAGAGCAGGAUUGGCAAUGUUGUGGACGGAACAAUUAACAACCAAGUCAUUUUAGGAAAGAGACCUGCACUUGAUCUUGUUGAAGAAACAUCUAUUCAAUCCGGAUAAUCCAUUUUUUACUACUAUUUUUUCAAGGUAUGCUUGAUAUGACCUGAGAAUUCAGACCAGAGUAGUCAUAGUUGCAGGUCUUAUGAGCAAUGAAACUAUAAUGCUUCAAGAUCCAGCUGGGAGGCCAUGGUCUAUUAAACUCAAAGAAACGACAGGGGUCGAUUUGCGUAUGGAAGGCUGGUGUAAUGGUGGUGCUGAGAAGAACCAAGCUAGGAAGAAGAAAAAGAGUGUAUGGAGCUUGAAGAAAGACCAUCCUUUUUCAAGGUCCUUGUUGGUGACUUCACCCAGCAACUGGUAACGUAUAUUAAACUUACUUCUUUUUCUUUUUCAAGGUUCUCUGCAUAGCUCAUCAAUGAAAUUCUGAGCUAAGUGAUGCCAAUCAAAUUCCGUUUACUACUAUUUGUUUCAUGUUCUUUUGGGGAAUCAAGUAUUAAAAAUUCCUACCACAGUCUGCAACCAAACAACAAGCCAAGAAUUCCUAGUAUGCAGGGUACUUUCAAGCUAACUUCUUGAAACUAGUUCAAACUGGUUGAUAGCAACGCAUCAUCUGCAAAGGAUGAUGCGAUCAGGAAUUUGUUUAGUGCAAAAACAAUACAUGAGUACAGUGCCCAAAGUUUAUUGACCUUCUUGUUGUGACAUUUGGUACUGCUGUUCCAGCUGGUCAAUUUGUUCCUGGAAUAAUGAUAGGAUCAACAUAUGGACGUCUUGUAGGCAUGUUUGUUGUUAGCUUCUACAAGAAGCUCAACAUUGAAGAGGGAACAUAUGCACUACUUGGAGCAGCUUCUUUUCUUGGAGGUUCAAUGCGAAGUCUCUAUGUGUCAUUAUGGUUGAAAUCACAAAUAAUCUGAAAUUGUUGCCUCUUAUCAUGCUUGUUCUUCUUAUUUCAAAGGCUGUUGGAGAUGAAUUCAACGAAGGCCUGUAUGAAGAACAGUCGCGGUUAAAGAACAUUCCACAGUUAGAAUCAAAACCCAAAUAUCAAAUGAGGAAGAUGACAGCAAAGGAGGCUUGUGGAAAAAGGGUGAUUUCCUUCCCUCGUGUUGUUAAGGUUGCUGAUUUGGUUUCUAUUCUACGGAGCAACAUCCACAAUGGCUUCCCUGUGAUUGAUCAUUCUAGAAACGGAGAAACAUUUGUCAUUGGACUACUGCUUCGUAGUCACUUGUUGGUACUUCUGCAGUCGAAGGUAGAUUUCCACAAGGAUGUGAAGGUAGCAAAUGUACCUCUUGAUGACUACUGUGAAGCCGUGGUCAGAGAUUUUUGAUUUGGCAAAGCUUUUGGAUCACCAAGUGUUCUAUGGUUAAGUGAAAUAUUGCUAAAUUGCAAUUUUUGAUGUACAAACAAACUAAUUGUUUUUAAUUCAAGGAAUAAAAGAAAAGUCUGGAAUGAAAA